GGUCGCUUAACUCAGUUGGUUAGAGUGUCGUACUAAUAUGUGUCUUCUACGGAUGCAUCUGAAAUGCGAAAGUCGCCAGUUCGAUCCUGGUAGUGACCA
rnacentral:tRNA from 1 species